UACAGAGGUCUCAAGCGUUGUUCGGAUUCAUUGGGCGUAAAGGGCGCGUAGGCUGCGGGGCAAGUCGGGUGUGAAAUCUCAGAGCUCAACUCUGAAACUGCACUCGAUACUGCUUUGCUUGAGGACUGGAGAGGAGAUUGGAAUUCACGGUGUAGCAGUGAAAUGCGUAGAUAUCGUGAGGGAAGACCAGUGGCGAAGGCGGAUCUCUGGACAGUUCCUGACGCUGAGGCGCGGAAGGCCAGGGGGAGCAAAACGGGGAUUAGAAA
rnacentral:rRNA from 1 species